GACGAACGCUGGCGGCGUGCUUAACACAUGCAAGUCGAGCGGUAAGGCCCUUUCGGGGGUACACGAGCGGCGAACGGGUGAGUAACACGUGGGUGACCUGCCCUCAGCUCUGGGAUAAGCCUGGGAAACCGGGUCUAAUACUGGAUAUGACUCCAUGACGCAUGUUGUGGGGUGGAAAGCCUUGUGCGGCUGAGGAUGGGCCCGCGGCCUAUCAGCUUGUUGGUGGGGUGACGGCCUACCAAGGCGACGACGGGUAGCCGGCCUGAGAGGGCGACCGGCCACACUGGGACUGAGACACGGCCCAGACUCCUACGGGAGGCAGCAGUGGGGAAUCUUGCGCAAUGGGCGAAAGCCUGACGCAGCGACGCCGCGUGAGGGAUGA
rnacentral:rRNA from 1 species